rnacentral:misc_RNA from 1 species
CGCGCCACCCCUGCCAUCCUCCCUCCUCCUCUCGAAAGAGUCGUGGCAUAGACAAGAAAAGUGAGUACCGUGGCAACACAAACAUACGCACACGUGUGGUGCAUCUUCACAGCCUCCACAGAUGCCAAGAAAAAAAAGCACAAAGAUCAUGUAUGCUUAUCGCCGUGCCAAUCACAUACCUGCCUAUCUGUCAGUCUGCCUGUGUCAGUGCGCACAUCUCCCCAACACCACCAGCACCACCCUCCGGAAUUGACGGAGACAAAAAUUCAACGCGCCCCCUCACUCUGUUGCCUUGAGGUGCACACACCCUCCUUCAUAUCGUUCGUUUCGUGUCCAGAAGUAGUUUGCUGAUAGCCAGAUCUGUGGCCACGGCUAUUGCCAAUUCGCGUGCGCGUGCUUGUGUGUGUGUGUGUGUGUGUGUAGAGGCCAAAGAGAAGUAGUACGGUGGCUGGCGUCUGGGACAUCUGAUUCAUAUCUCUAUUACUCUUUCACCGCUCCUUGGCAUCACGUCCUCGGCUCACACAGACAGCCGCGUACACGCGGCACACCGGCACUUUGCAGCGAACACGCUGAGACUACGCCUGCGCGUCCCCUUUCUGUUCUUCGGAUAGGGGGCAUCGGCUGCGGUUUUGGCCGUCUUUCUUCUUUUCGUGUUUGUCUUCUUUUUUUUGACCGCCUCUAAACAUACGGGAGCGCGUGCGUGCGCGCAUGUUUCCCUCACCACUUUCUCUUGCCCUUACCAUUCUCCCCCCUGCGCCCUCCGGCAUCUCCCGCUCCGUGCGUGGCACCUCAUCGCAGUCAUGCGCAGGACGCUACACCGGCUGCUGCUGAACGUCUCAGGUGAGAGCCCCGACUUCCGUGCGAAACCCGGUAUUCGAAACCUGCUGCUGGACGUUCAACAGAGCCCGUACAAAGAGCAGUUCAAGGACUACUGGUCCACGCCGGUCCCGUUUGCCGACCGCGAGUACGGUGAGAAGCCGAAGCUGGGAGAGCCGAUCCCCACGCGCCGUGCCGCCACAACGAUCCUUGUCGGUCACAACAAGCACAUUGACCCCGCCAAGGUCGCGGCUGGCGAGGACAAUGACUACAAGGUCCUGAUGAUGUACCGUGAGUCGAAGGGGCAGUACGUGAAGGAUCAAUUUGUGCUACCGUCUUUUCCCGUGUCCCUGGAGGACACGUCGGAGGACUGGGACAAGGUGCUGCGACGGCGCGGUGUGACGACACAGUGGGCCGACCUGCACCAUCGCCUAGCCGCAAUGCGCGCGCUCUUUGCGCAGACAAACCUCUUGCUGAUCCCAAAGGAGGGCGGUGUGGUGGCAGAGGUAGAGGGCCCUCCCGGACCGCGGCGGUGGUUCCUGAUCUGUAACCAGUACCCCAAGGCGAUGCGGCAGCUGAUGGAUGUGCUUGAGCUGCCUAUGGAAUCGACGCUCUCGCAACUGAUGCCGUUUCGCACGAUAGUGACCCCUACUACCGAAACCUUCCGUUUCGCGAACUUGAGCUACGUCGUGACGCUGAAUAAGAUUCCGGAUGUUCAGUACACACUCUCCACUGUCGGCGAGAAGCUUGUGUGGGUGUCGCCGAUGGAGGCGCUCGCACGCUUCAACGCCGGCAUCAUGAACAUGCCCACGCCCAACGUGAUUGCGCUCUCAGAACUGCACAACGAGUGCCCAACCUUUGCAGAUGUGACCAAGAAGACGAACCGCGAUGCGCCGCGCACGGUGCAACCUGUGCUAUUCCAUCAUGGGCAGGAGAAGGUGGCCACAGUGCUGCUGCCAGGCGACAUGUUCCACCCAGAGACCACGCCAGAGGACCGCGCCUCCAAGUACGUGCGGCGCUUCGCCUAUGAGAAAGACUUUCCCUUCGGCGUGCGCGCCGUCUUUGAUGAGCGCCCGGCGACCGCAGAGGAGGAGGCGCAAGUGCUGGAGCCGGAGAAGCCGGCGCUGCUGGAGGAGGCCAAUGACAUGGACAUGGUGUACAGCUCCAUCCCCUACCCGAAGUGGCAGCGGGUUCCGCAGGAAGGAAAGACGGCUUACCCGGUGCCUCAGUACAACUUCCAGGAGGGCCGGGAAAGCGACGAGGGCCUGAUUCCGCUGCGACGCGAUCACAUGGGACGCAAGCCGGUCGACCUAUACUCAUCCCCUCAUGAAAAGUGAGCAGACCGAGGAGAAUAGCGACACGAACAACAGUGGACGAUACGAGUCGAGGGUAGAAGGGUGGAGGGUGGUGUACGUGUGUCGCAAGAUCAUCACCCCCAUCACCUCCUUUUCUUGUGUAUCUCGGUGGCGGACAUAUACAUACACACACACGCAGAGGCACACGGGUCUAGUGAGGGUGGGGGCCGAAUUGCCAUGGAUCGGCAUAUUGUGUGCCGCUCGAAGGACGAAGAGGCUGCAGGCGACGCCUGCGUGACACGUGGUUGCGGCUGCAAUCGGGUCAUCGAGGGCAACUCUCGAUGGCGGCGGAUAGAUUGGCAGGAAGUGGCUUACGCUGUGAAGAUGGUGUCAGUUUGUGUAGGUUAGCUUCGUACGUGCGGUAGCAGCGGCGUUCACAUCUGGAAGCGCUGCUUUCUGCCGCGCUGCCUCGUGCAGAGGAGUGCCUUUGUCUCUACGUGAGUGUGGUGCGUCACGUUUCUAGUGCUCUGCAUCCUUUUUCCGUCUUGCGCUCUUUUUGCUGUUGGAUUCGAGGAGCUUGCUCUCGUAGAGUGGACGGGAGGGGGACAGGGCUGCCACGAGUGGGUGCCGAAGCAAAGUACAGGCGGAUUGCCCAUCGUGCGCGUGUGUGUGUGUGUGUGGUUAUUUCGAAAAUCAUAGGUGCAGGGGCACUGGCAGUGCUACCCUACAAAGGGGUUGGGGGGGGGUACAGUGCCGCACCUCAACGAGUGCGGCAGCACUCUUCUCUUUUGUGAUUGAUGUGCCGCACCCGCCAACCCAACACCAAUUUGUGCAUCCUCGAGUGCUCCUCCGAUAUUCAACAAGUUCUCUACUCCCGCCCCACUCCCCAGCGGCCCUGGGCUCUCGUGGUCGCCUCUUUCGCGAUGAUGAAUGCCCUCCUUGACGGUCGAGUGGUCCCGUUGGUGCCCUCUUUUUUCUGUUGUUGUUUCCGCUCACGACUGUGCCCGCACUGCAACAGU